rnacentral:rRNA from 1 species
GACAGAGGGUGCAAACGUUGUUCGGAAUUACUGGGCGUAAAGCGAGUGUAGGCGGUUUGGAAAGUCGGAUGUGAAAGCCCCGGGCUUAACCUGGGAACUGCGCUUGAAACUACGAGCUCGAGUGUGGCAGAGGAAGGUGGAAUUCCACGUGUAGCGGUGAAAUGCGUAGAGAUGUGGAGGAACACCGAUGGCGAAGGCAGCCUUCUGGGCCGAACACUGACGCUCAUGCACGAAAGCGUGGGGAGCAAACAGG